CCCCUGCCCCAGUGAGACCACGCCCCUCCACCGGCCUGGGACUGAGCCCGGCAGAUGGAGACCCGCACGGGACCCGGCCGGCGACUCUGACGCGGCCGAGGGGGAGAGCUGCUCUUCUGAGAGCCCCCGAGGAAUGAUGCGGGCCCCUGAACCUGGGAACGGUGAGAAGUGUCGUGCCCGGGAAGUUCCCCGGCGUUGCCCGCUGGGCUUUUGUGAAACUCCACGGGGCUGCGUGACACUGUGAUAACUCAUAUUUAUUGAGUUCCAUACUUAAUCUAAUCCUCACGACAGUGUUGUGCGUUUCAGGACUAGCAUUGUCCCCAUUUUGUUGCAGUGGAAGCAGACUCCUAGGACUCCAGAGUUGAGAUACGAACGAGGCAGCCUUAGCGACUUAACUGUGCAGUCAUAUCAGUACACUAGCCUCUUGAGGAACGCUCCCGAGCACCAUCCCUGUAAAGGAAUGAGAAUGUAAGCCCAGGCCUUAGCUUCCACACCUGUAAAAUGAGUGUUGACUGUCGCCUGCCCUGCAAGUCACAUUGGAUUGUGAAAAUGCUUUGGAAGCAAAGCAUUUUCAAAGUUCACCUCAAUGAAGAGUCUUCACUGAGUCCUCAUUGAAUUUAAAAGUGAAAGUAUUAAAACUGACUUCUUGUGGCCUCCAUUAAAGACACUGGAAGAAGCUUUCAAAGCACAAUAUUUUUAAGAAUGUAAGAAAACAGUCACAUUCUUCUUUAUGCACAAAUCCCGUUGAUGUGCACUUACUAAUUCAAUGAUAUAUUUGUAGGAGGUGAUAGAUGUCAGUUAGGCAUUAGAAUUUGGAAGGGACCUUAAUGGAUAAUUCACUUCAAUUUCCUGUCAAUCUACAGAUGGGCAAAGUGACUUCCCAAAAGUCACUUAGAAAACUGGCAGCUUAGGACUAGAACCCAAUUUUAUUAAUCUCCGUAGGGCAUCUGACACUGCUUCCUCUCACUUUUGGCUUCACUUUUCCUCUCACUUUUGGCAAAUACGCUUCUUUGUCUUGACACAUUCACCAAAUAUUCAGUCUCUGAUGCAUGAGGCACUGUCCUAGGCCUUGAGGAUACAACCAUGAAAGGGUGCAUCCUUCCUCUGCCUACAGAGAGUUUACACUGUACAGAGGAGACAGAUGGUAGAUGAUCAUUGAAAUGACCAUUGGUGCUGGUGGCUUGAAAUGUGACAUUUGCUAAAAGCAGAACAUUUGGGAGGGGAACACAUUUGGGGAGGAAGAUCAAAAAUUUUUAAAUUGAGGACAUGUUAGGUUUGUAGCGCCUCAGAGAAGUGCAAAGAAGAAUGUUCAGAAAGUGGCUGUCAAACCAGGUCUGGGGCUCCACAGAAGAGCAGGAGUUGGAAUAAAGCCUUGGGAAUGAGUGGCGUUUUAGAGCAGAUGAAGUCAUAAAGAGACUCAGGGAAAAGACAAGAUGGCCCAAGACCAAGCCCUGAGGAACUCCAACAUUAGAGGUCAGGGAGAGGAGAACAAGCUGCCAAAGGAGAAGCCAGAGAGCUAACAGGAAAAUCAGGAGAAUAUGGAGUUCUGGAGCCCAAAAGAAAAGAAUGUUCCAACAAGGGAAUGGUAAACUGUGUUGAAUGCUGCAGAGAGAUGAAGCAAGACAGGGCUGGGAAGUGUGCAUGAGAUUAACGAGGAAGCCAGUGGUGACUUUGUCAAGAGCACUUGCAGUGAAUGCAAGUUUGCUUGCAGUGGGCUGAGGACUUGGGUAUGGCAGAACCUUGAUCAGGAGCCAGAGAAUGGACGACUCUCCAGGACUAUGGUGCCCUUUUCUCGACCCCAUUUAAAAAAAGUAAGAGAGCAGGGGCCCCGUGAGACGUCCUGAGGCGUCCUGGUCUCCAAAUGGACAAGGUUUCCAUCUCUUGUGUACGUCUGCUCUCUACCUGGCUAUCUGUUAGAAUCGAUCUCGAAGUCCUUGCUAUCCUCCCCACAAUCUUAAAGUUGCGGUGUCUGCCCCUUUAAAGCAGCAGCCCCGGGUCCGGUUAUUGUCUCGCCUUGCAGCCAAUCCACGGCGUCAUUGGGGGCGGGGGAUCCGGCCUCCUGAUUGGCUACUGAGCGCCCCGCCCCGCCCGGGAUCCCGGGAGCUGUCCGGCCGCCUCGGUGCUGAUCCCGUCGCCGCCCACGGGCCGUGAGCAGCGCUAAGAGGGCAUUAUGAGCGGGGGCGUCUACGGCGGAGAUGAGGUGGGGGCGCUGGUCUUUGACAUUGGCUCCUUCUCAGUCCGCGCUGGGUACGCUGGGGAGGACUGCCCCAAGGCUGACUUCCCCACCACGGUGGGGCUGCUGGCCGCGGAGGAGGGGGGCGGGCUGGAGCUGGAGGGGGAGAAAGAGAAGAAAGGGAAGAUCUUCCACAUCGACACCAACGCCCUGCAUGUGCCUCGGGAUGGAGCAGAGGUCAUGUCGCCCCUCAAGAAUGGCAUGAUUGAGGACUGGGAAUGCUUCCGCGCCAUCCUGGAUCACACCUACAGUAAACACGUCAAGUCCGAGCCCAACCUGCAUCCAGUGCUCAUGUCUGAGGCCCCGUGGAACACACGGGCCAAGCGGGAGAAGCUGACAGAGCUGAUGUUCGAGCAAUACAACAUUCCUGCCUUCUUCUUAUGCAAGACAGCUGUACUUACUGCCUUUGCAAACGGACGUUCCACGGGCCUAGUGCUGGACAGUGGGGCCACCCAUACCACCGCCAUCCCAGUACAUGAUGGCUACGUCCUACAGCAAGGCAUUGUCAAGUCGCCCCUAGCAGGGGACUUCAUCUCCAUGCAGUGCCGGGAGCUCUUCCAGGAAAUGGCCAUUGACAUCAUUCCACCUUACAUGAUUGCUGCCAAGGAACCUGUACGGGAGGGCGCCCCUCCAAACUGGAAGAAGAAGGAGAAGCUCCCCCAGGUUUCCAAGUCCUGGCAUAACUACAUGUGCAAUGAGGUGAUCCAGGACUUCCAGGCCUCUGUGCUACAGGUCUCAGACUCUCCCUAUGAUGAGCAGGUGGCUGCGCAGAUGCCCACGGUACACUAUGAGAUGCCCAAUGGCUACAACACAGACUAUGGUGCUGAACGGCUCCGCAUUCCCGAGGGCCUGUUCGAUCCCUCCAAUGUCAAGGGCCUGUCGGGGAACACCAUGUUGGGUGUGGGCCACGUGGUGACCACCAGCAUAGGCAUGUGUGACAUCGACAUUCGCCCGGGCUUGUAUGGCAGUGUCAUUGUCACCGGUGGAAAUACCCUGCUCCAGGGCUUCACUGACAGGCUCAAUCGGGAGCUUUCCCAGAAGACCCCACCGCCCCUCUUUCCCCCCAGAGCAUGCGGCUGAAGCUCAUCGCCAGCAACAGCACCAUGGAGCGCAAGUUCAGCCCCUGGAUUGGGGGCUCCAUCUUGGCCUCACUGGGCACUUUCCAACAGAUGUGGAUCUCCAAGCAGGAAUAUGAGGAGGGAGGGAAGCAGUGCGUGGAGCGGAAGUGCCCCUGAGGGCGCCCCCUCAACACCCACACGCCCUCCCGCAGCGGUGGGGUAGAGGACGCCAAACCCGGGAGAGGGCUUCCCGGCUCGGCCUCAGCCAGCGCAGAUCUAAGCCCCUACCCCCAUGCCCUCGUCUCUUCCCCUGCCCUCUCGUCCGCUUAGAUUGUGAUGUUUCUGGGUUGAAAGAAGUAAAAAUGUUUUAAGAAAAAAA